rnacentral:sRNA from 1 species
GACUCCCAACCCGUGAGAACCUUACCGCAUCCUUUCUGAGAGAGAGCGCCCGUUGCCUCCUGCCGGGCGGCGUGCCCUCCCCCCCCCUCUGCGGGGGGCGGGACGGGCGCCCGCCCGCCGGGGGCGCGGCGCGGCCGCUCCCUCCCACCGCGAACCUUCUUUGCAGUAUAUUUGUAUCGUCUGAGCAAACCACAGAAUCGUUAAAACUUUCAACAACGGAUCUCUUGGUUCUGGCAUCGAUGAAGAACGCAGCGAACUGCGAUAAGUAAUGCGAAUUGCAGAAUUCAGCGAGCCAUCGAAUCUUUGAACGCACAUUGCGCCCGCCAGCAUUCUGGCGGGCAUGCCUGUCCGAGCGUCAUUUCCUCCCUCACGCAGCGCGCCUGCGUGGUGUUGGGGCGUUCUGCGGUCAGGCCUGCGCCCAGCGUAGGCCGCCGCAGCCCCCGAAAGCCAGUGGCGGGCCGGCAGCGGGCUCCGAGCGCAGUAAGCAUCACGCCCUCGCUCUGGACGCCCCCGCCUGCGCCCUGCCCCCCAUACCGGCAGACGCGAGUCUGCCCCCUUCUCAAGGUUGACCUCGGAUCAGGUAGGACUACCCGCUGAACUUAAGCAUAUC